AAUCAACGCUGGCGGCGUGCCUAACACAUGCAAGUCGAACGAGAAAGGGGGACUUGGGUCCCUGAGUAAAGUGGCGCACGGGUGAGUAACACGUGACUUAUNUACCUCGAUGGGGAAUAACUUCGGGAAACCGAGGCUAAUACCGCAUAAUACCCACGGGUCAAAGGAGCAAUUCGCUUGAGGAGGAGGUCGCGGCCGAUUAGUUAGUUGCGGGGUAAUGGCCACCAAGACAGUGAUCGGUAUCCGGCCUGAGAGGGCGCACGGACACACUGGAACUGAAACACGGUCCAGACUCCUACGGGAGGCAGCAGUGGGGAAUUUUGCGCAAUGGGGGAAACCCUGACGCAGCAACGCCGCGUGGAGGAUGAAGUCUCUUGGGACGUAAACUCCUUUCGAUCGGGACGAUUAUGACGGUAUCGGAAGAAGAAGCCCCGGCUAACUUCGUG
rnacentral:rRNA from 1 species